UAGCUUUGAUAAUUUGUUAUAAAUGCUUCCGCUGCUUUCGUAUAUUAAAUUUGAUUUGUAUAUGCAUGUUAGUCAUUUUGAAAUCCCUAUAUGUGAAAACUCAUAAUUUUCCCUUCAAGUGGUAUCAGAGCCAAAGGUUUAUGUAUAAUAUGUCCUUUUGGAUUUUAUGCAUAUGGGUAUUAAUAUUAUGUAUGACAUAAUUAUUGCUUCAUUCAAAAUAUGUUUAUCUUUUGUUUUUCAAUAGUUGAAAAAUGUUAGUCAAUAGUUGAGAAAUAUAUGUAUGCAAAAAUGUUUUGUAUGCAUGAAUGAAAAAUGAGUUUAGAACUAGUUUGACAUAUUAUUUCUUCAUUUAAAGUAUGUUUGUCUUUUGUUUUUCAAUGGUUGAAAAAUAUAAAUCAAGAGUUGAAAAGAUAUGCAUGUAAAAGUUGUUUUGUAUGCAUGAAUGAAGAAUAAGUCAUGAACAAAAUUUUGGGGUUUUGAACCAAAAGGGAGGGCACGGUUUUGGGGGUGGUUUUGGGUUGUGUUUGUGUUUUAUUGUAAACCACUCACACAUCCUUUUAAAGCUAGAAAAAAGGGUUCUUGUCACUUUUGUUUUUGGGUUUGAAAAAUCACCAAGAAUAUACAAAUCUUGAAAAUGUGUUCAUGGCUUUGUUCUUGGUGUUCAUGGUUUGGUUUUAGGUGAAAAUGGUUUUCUUUGGUUUUCAUGCAUUGUUUUGUGGUUUUGGAUGAUGUUCAUACCAUCCAUAACCAUAUCAUAUAUUUAUAAAACCCUAGACUUGACUAGGAGGAUUUCCAUCACCUUUUCCCUAAAGUCUUUGAAGCAAAACCAAGUGACAAGCAAAAUUUAAUUUUUUCUACAUAAUGUGGUUUUUGUGCAUGUUGUGUAAGAGUGUGUAAGAAACCUCCCAUCCCCUUAAUGUGGCCGGCCUCCCUAGUGGAUUUAUCCACUUGUGGGGCUAUUUUGUAAUCUUUGAAAAGUUGAUAUUUAUUUUUGAGUAUUUACGGUUUGAUCCCUAACUUUUUCAUAUUUGAUUUUAAUUUUGUUAGUUGUUUAAACUCAUAAUACUAUUAUGCCCAUAUGCACUAAAUCUAAAUGUUCAUGUUGCAUUCCAUUUUGAUUAUUUAAUAUGAUUAAGUAGUUAGAAAAUGGAUGACUUUGGACUUAUGCCUUAAACGAUAAUUGAGCUAUGAGAUAAGGCGCUAAAAUCAAAUUGUUUGAACCUUGGGAAUGUGUUUUAAUUACUGUUUAAUUGGACCUUGUCACGUUUGACGUUAAUCUAUCUCUCCCCUUUUAGUAUGUGUAAUUUAUAGGAAUUUGUACAAAUCGGUUUGUAAUUCUUAUUACUUCUUAAUCUCUAUUCGUUAGUUGAUUC
rnacentral:lncRNA from 1 species